GAUGAACGCUGGCGGCGUGCCUAAUACAUGCAAGUCGAGCGAACGGACGAGAAGCUUGCUUCUCUGAUGUUAGCGGCGGACGGGUGAGUAACACGUGGAUAACCUACCUAUAAGACUGGGAUAACUUCGGGAAACCGGAGCUAAUACCGGAUAAUAUUUUGAACCGCAUGGUUCAAAAGUGAAUGACGGUCUUUCUGUCACUUAUAGAUGGAUCCGCGCUUCAUUAGAUAGUUGGUAAGGUAAAGGCUUACCAAGGCAACGAUGCAUAGACGACCUGAGAGGGUGAUCGGCCACACGGGAACUGAGACACGGUCCAGACUCCUACGGGAGGCAGCAGUAGGGAAUCUUCCGCAAUGGGCGAAAGCAUGACGGAGCAACGCCGCGUGAGUGAUGAAGGUCUUCGGAUCGUAAAACUCUGUUAUUAGGGAAGAACAUAUGUGUAAGUAACUGUGCACAUAUUGACGGUACCUAAUCAGAAAGCCACGGCUAACUACGUG
rnacentral:rRNA from 1 species